AUGAGCAGGAGGACAUCCAUCCAUCCAUCUCAAAGGUAUGUUGGUGAGGCAGUUCAAGUGUACUCCUGCUUAAAUUUGACCUCAGUUUUACUAUUGCAGCAAAAUCUAGCAAGUACAAUGACGAUGGUGCUGGAUGCAUUUGCAUCCUACCUGGGGGACUUGCUCAAGCAGGUGGUAGAGGAAGAGCUGGGAACGAUGUUGGGUGUCUCCGGCGAGAUUGACGAGUUGGGCGACAAGUUCCAGGACCUCAAGAACUUCCUCGCUGACGCUGAUAGGAGGAACAUCAACGACGAGACUGUGCAAGAGUGGGUGGGGCAGCUCAAGCGGGCCAUGUAUGAAGCUGCUGACAUCCUCGAUCUUUGCCAGCUCAAGGCCAUGGAGCAUGGACCAUCCACCGUAAAUGCAGGGUGUUUUAAUCCCUUGCUUUUCUGCAUGCGCAAUCCCUUCCAUGCUCAUGAGAUCGGCACCCGUAUCAAGGCUCUCAACCAGAGGCUUGACUCCAUCAAGGAGCGCAGUGCUGCUUUCAACUUUAUCAACCUCAGGUCCUAUGAGGAUCAUAGCAGUCAUGGUAAUCUUAGCCGGGAGACGAUAGGAGACUUUGACCAGUCGGCUGUAGUUGGGGACAAGAUUGAAGAAGACACGAGAGCACUAGUGGCCCAGAUCAUGCAAACUGGAAAGAAGGUCAAUGAUGACAUCAUGGUGGUCGCCAUUGUAGGUGCCGGCGGGAUUGGCAAGACCACCCUCGCACAGAAGGUUUUCAAUGAUGAGACCAUCCAAGGUGAGUUCAGUAAAAAGUUAUGGUUGAGCGUCAACCAAAACUUCAGUGAUGUUGAGCUGUUGAGAAGAGCCAUCAUCGAAGCCAGAGGAGACCACUCGUCAGCUGGGAAUGUAAAGGCCAUGCUUCACCAAACCCUCAAGGACACCUUGAUUGGCCAAAAGACUUUACUUGUAAUGGAUGAUGUGUGGGACCAUGGAGCAUGGGAGAAUGUGCUCAAAAUACCCUUUAUUAAUGCUGUGGCUUCCGGAAGUAGAGUUCUCAUCACCACUAGAGAUGAAGGUGUAGCUCGACAAAUGAUAGCCAUAUGGCCCUACCACCAUGUCGACACAUUAUUGCCUGAAGAUGCUUGGUUAUUGCUCAAGAGGCAGGUACUCUCAAGUGAGAUAGAUGAAGAUUACACAGAUACGCUAAAGGAUAUCGGAUUGAAAAUUAUAGAAAAAUGUGGUUAUUUACCACUUGCCGUUAAAGUAAUGGGAGGAUUAUUGCGUGAAAGAGGAGGGCUACGUCGUGAUUGGGAGCAUGUUUUGGAUGAUUCUAAAUGGUCAGUAACUAAAAUGCCCCCAGAGAUCAACUAUACAGUAUACUUAAGCUAUGAAUAUAUGCCUUCAUAUUUGAAGCAGUGCUUUCUAUACUACACUCUUCUUCCUAAAAGUAAACCUUAUAAUAUGGAUCAAGUAGUUGCAAUGUGGAUGAGCGAAGGUUUUCUUCAUGGAAACUCGAGUGAUUUAGAAGAAUUGGGAAGAAAUUACUACAAGGAGUUGCUAUCCAGGAACCUUAUAGAGCCAGAUAAAUUGUAUGUUGCUCCAUGGAUUUCGAGCAUGCAUGAUAUUGUUCGCUCAUUUGCUCAUUACAUGACUAAGAUGAAGCACUCAUAG
rnacentral:rRNA from 1 species